rnacentral:piRNA from 1 species
UGAGCUGAGGGUACUUGAAUCUUUUU